GCCUUCGUGGUGUAGUGGUCAGCACGCUCGACCCAUAUUCGAGAGGUCAGUGUUUCCAGUCCCCGGCGAAGGCA
rnacentral:tRNA from 1 species